rnacentral:rRNA from 1 species
CCCUUAGAUGUCCUGGGCUGCACGCGCGCUACACUGGAAGUUACGGAUUGAGAUACUACCUUGUCCGAAAUGGUCCGGGUAAUCACCUAAAAGCUUGUCAUAAUUGGAAUGGAUUAUUGUAACUAGUAAUCCUGAACGAGGAAUUCCUAGUAAGUCCCAGUCAACAGCUGGUACUGAUUACGUCCCUGCCCUUUGUACACACCGCCCGUCGCUACUACUGAUUGGACGUUUAAGCAAGAUUUUUAAACACUGACAGUGUGCAGUUCACGCUAUACUACAGUGAGAAGAAGAAGAUCGAGCUUACUUGUCUAGAGGAAGUAAAAGUCGUAACA